GGGCGUGUAGCUCAGUUGGUAGAGCACUUGACUUUUAAUCAAGUUGUCCGGGGUUCGAAUCCCCGCACGCUCA
rfam:Ruminococcus gnavus CAG:126 genomic scaffold, scf47